rnacentral:lncRNA from 1 species
GACCCUUUGCCUCUCUCGCUCACGAAUGUAUGAUUGGUUGAUUGGAUGUAUGUUUACUUGUUUAUCUCGCUCUUGCAUUGCAUUUGGGUGGGGGACAUCACCUUAGAGUCUCGCGUUGGUUCUCGAUCCCUCCCCUCCAAACGAGCACUAGCAUACGUGCAUUCGCUUUAAUAUUUAUCCCUCUUUUAUUUUUUCUUUUAGUGGCUUGUCACGCCACUCCACCCUAU